rnacentral:piRNA from 1 species
UGACAAGAAGCCAGAACUCCUAUUCC